GGUGACGUGAAGGAGGGUAAUCGCUGAACUGUGCCCACUGCUUGUCCCAUUUUGAUACACCCAUGAUCGUCAUCGUAACCCUGGCGAUAUUCAGGUAAUUGGUAACUAGUUUACCAUGACGCAUGUUAGGUGUUAAUUUUGGACAGAUGAUUAAUUAGUUGAAUGGUAUUUGUAGAGCACAAUAUCUGGAGUGGUUUGGUUUGGAGUUUGGAGAAAUCUACCACUAGUGAGUCGUGUGAACAGCUGUACAGCAUAAGUGUUCGCAAUGUUAUAAGAUGUAAAUAUGAUUUUUUUGACUGUGAAAUUAUAUGAACUGUGUUAUCUGUUCUUUAGAGGGCAGAUCAUUUGUGUUUGUCCACGUGCUUUGUACACACCCAACACACCGGAACAUAUCGACAAGCCACUGCUGUUGUCUAUUGUGGCGUAAUUGUCUUUAAUCUGUUAAAUGAUUUUCUUUGAUCUCUUAGAUCCCUUUUCGAACUCUUUUAAAAUUCAGUUUACAUCUCAGACUUUCAUCUUAAAGCUGUACAAUUUCUCAUUGUUCAGUCGGGAAUAAAGCCCACAUAAAAAUUA